GGAGAUGGCUGAGUGACUAACACCAACAUGUAUUGUCACCUGUUCUGUGACAGCCACGAAUAAACUAAUUCCCAAAAGGAAACUUCCACUGCAUGGCUCAGGUCACUGCAGCCUGUAGCAAAGAGUGUAUGGUGAGAACAGAGGACCUCCAUGGCCCUAGAGGAAUGUCAUCAGGGUUCUGUUGGAGGGUAACUGAUGACCUCCUCAAGAUAAGGGCCAGGUCAGCCAAGUGACAGGCACAGUGGCAAGAGGAAACAGCAAGGGUGAGGUGAACAUUAAAGCAAACCGCCACCAAGACGAGACGGUUUCAGGAGAUAUUCAUGGAACACAUUCAUGAAAAUAAGCAUCACCAUCCAAGAGGUUCGUGGGUAGUUAGUCCCUGCCCUCCAGGGAUAAUCAGAAGAGGAAACUUAAGGCAACAUGUAUACAAUUAUCUAAUCACAGAAAUUCUGUACAUAAUCAUGCUUAACAAAUAUUCAACUAUGUAAUCAGAAAUGGGAUACUUCUCUGCAAAACAUUCCAGAGGUGCUAUGUAGUUUUGCUGGAAUGUCCAAAAUAUGUUUAGU
rnacentral:lncRNA from 1 species